UACGUAGGGGGCAAGCGUUGUCUGGAUUUAUUGGGCGUAAAGAGCUCGUAGGCGGUUUGUUGCGUCGACUGUGAAAACCUGGGGCUUAACUCUGGGCUUGCAGUCGAUACGGGCAGACUUGAGUUCGGUAGGGGAGACUGGAAUUCCUGGUGUAGCGGUGAAAUGCGCAGAUAUCAGGAGGAACACCGGUGGCGAAGGCGGGUCUCUGGGCCGAUACUGACGCUGAGGAGCGAAAGCGUGGGGAGCGAACAGG
rnacentral:rRNA from 1 species